UCUGCGCCGAAAUCCCCUCAGGGGGAGUGAGUCGCCGCCCCGGGGCUACCACCUGCAAGGGCGGCCGUGGGCGCCUGGCCACCCCUGGUCGCGGGCGGUGGAGACCAAACUCGAUGGGGAAAACUGGGAUGAGUUCAUAGGGAGGAGUUUUGUCGCCUUCGCACUAACCUGGACGUAUUAAUCUGAGACGAGGCCUUGGGUGCUGGUAGUUCAUCUGUGAAGGGAUCCAGGACAUCAGAAUAAGGAGGUAGAGAAAUGGAACAGGGAACAGUGGAAAGCCAGCGAAAGAAUAACUACAUGAUGGAGAACAGGUGAUGAAUAUUCUUCCAAAAGAAGCCUUUGCAGAAUAUAUGACCUCUCUUUAAGCCUCUGCCUGGCUAAGACGCUACACCAUAUUUUUCUUCACAGAACAGAUGUACACAUCUCCCUUCCAGAAGGGCUUGAGUGAAGAGCAACACCAGAUGAAAAGAAUGGACUAUGUUGUGGUUGAUUUGGUGGACUCAGCAGAAGGUGAUGAAAACACUGAAAUGGCAGCAGAGAUCCAAAAACAGCAAUCUACAGCACACCAUGUAACUAUCUCUACUGAGUUGUUACUCAAUACAAACUGAUGAAUGAUCUUGGUAAUUACUAUAAAACUGUGAUCUUCAAGUGUGAAAAUAUGUAUUGUGGAUGACAAAGAUACACUUAGUUCAUUCUUUUGUAGCCACUGAAAUCUUAAAUAGAAUUAAUUUCUGCACUGAACACGGUACUGAUUUUCAUCCACGGAGGCAGAUAGAUUCACUUUAGAAUAUACAUAUGUUAUGUUUUCUAUAAACCAGGCAAAAACUGGGAACACAAAGAUCUGGUUUUUGUCCUUGAAGAGUUCACAGUCUAGAGCAAGAGACACACUUUAUAAGACUAACAGAGUUGCAUGGAGCUCCAAAGAAUAUUUCAUACUUCAAACUACAUUUUAUACUUAGUAACCUCAGUAUCUAAAACAGAGAAAAGUUAAUAUUGUGUAAAUUAAUUUUGGGUAAAAUAAUAUUAUCCAACUCUAAAGGCUGUUGUGAGGAUUAACUGUGUUAUUAUAGGUAAAGUGCUCAAAAUAGUGCUUGGCACCUGUUAAAUAUUGGCAAUUAUUUGCACUUGUUGUCAUUAUGGAAACUCCAAAUUUCCUUUUGUUCUUCAGUUCCUGUACAGUAGUAGCUACCAUUUAAUGCAUGCCUACUAUAUACCACAUAUCUUACCCCAAGUAAUAUUUUGUUAAUCCUUUCAAUAACUCUCUGAAUUAACUGCUAUAGCUUCUCAUUUAUAAAUGGAAAUUCAACAUUCAGAAAUUAAAUAAUUUUCCCAAUUUCAGCUCUAGUAAGUCCAGAGCUAAAAUUCAGUCUCUAAUUUUCUACUAAACCACACAGCCCCAUGGAUAGAGAUCAUUAAUGAAGAAUUGGUAUUAAACUGCUUAGUUCUCUGAGAGAUUGGCUCUUUCAGUCCACCCUUUGUUCCCUUUUGGAGCAAAGACAGACACUGAGAGAACUAUUAUAACUUAUAGGGAACUGGAAAAAUAUACAAAGUCAAUCCAAUGCAUUUUUCUAACGUUUCCUCCCUUUUUACAGCUGGCCUGUAGAGAA